ACGAGUGGCGAACGGGUGAGUAACACAUCGGAACGUGCCUAGUAGUGGGGGAGUAACUACUCGAAAGAGUAGCUAAUACCGCAUGAGAUCUAAGGAUGAAAGCAGGGGGACCUUCGGGCCUUGCGCUACUAGAGCGGCUGAUGGCAGAUUAGGUAGUUGGUGGGAUAAAAGCUUACCAAGCCGACGAUCUGUAGCUGGUCUGAGAGGACGACCAGCCACACUGGAACUGAGACACGGUCCAG
rnacentral:rRNA from 1 species